UUGCUUCUCUGAUGUUAGCGGCGGACGGGUGAGUAACACGUGGAUAACCUACCUAUAAGACUGGGAUAACUUCGGGAAACCGGAGCUAAUACCGGAUAAUAUUUUGAACCGCAUGGUUCAAAAGUGAAAGACGGUCUUGCUGUCACUUAUAGAUGGAUCCGCGCUGCAUUAGCUAGUUGGUAAGGUAACGGCUUACCAAGGCAACGAUGCAUAGCCGACCUGAGAGGGUGAUCGGCCACACUGGAACUGAGACACGGUCCAGACUCCUACGGGAGGCAGCAGUAGGGAAUCUUCCGCAAUGGGCGAAAGCCUGACGGAGCAACGCCGCGUGAGUGAUGAAGGUCUUCGGAUCGUAAAACUCUGUUAUUAGGGAAGAACAUAUGUGUAAGUAACUGUGCACAUCUUGACGGUACCUAAUCAGAAAGCCACGGCUAACUACGUGCCAGCAGCCGCGGUAAUACGUAGGUGGCAAGCGUUAUCCGGAAUUAUUGGGCGUAAAGCGCGCGUAGGCGGUUUUUUAAGUCUGAUGUGAAAGCCCACGGCUCAACCGUGGAGGGUCAUUGGAAACUGGAAAACUUGAGUGCAGAAGAGGAAAGUGGAAUUCCAUGUGUAGCGGUGAAAUGCGCAGAGAUAUGGAGGAACACCAGUGGCGAAGGCGACUUUCUGGUCUGUAACUGACGCUGAUGUGCGAAAGCGUGGGGAUCAAACAGGAUUAGAUACCCUGGUAGUC
rnacentral:rRNA from 1 species